AGUUGUAAAAUAUUUGGUGAAACACGUUAAUAUAUGUAGAAGGCAGGAAUCUAACUACGUUAACAUUGAGAUAUUUGUUGGAAAAAACAUUUGCAUAUUUAUAACCAGACCGCAAUUUGCAUAAUGGAAUUUAAUUAAUUUCAACUGAUAGACGAUGGUACGAACCAUAUUUGGCAUGUCGGAAAUAUCCACAUACGAAUAAAAUUUACAGACAAAAGUUUCCCGUAUCAGAUAUGAUUUGCUUUCAGGGGCCAAAAACCCGAAUGUUCAAUAUGGAAAUAUGCUGUGUGACCACCUUGUACUACAAAAUUGGUAGAAAGCAAAUUACAUAAAUAUCAAAAAGAAGAAAAAUAUGAAAAAAGUCCAUUUGCAUAAAAACACACAGGAAACGAACCCAUAAAAUAUAGUUGCCAUAUCAGAAGCAAAAGGAAACAAUCCAUGUUAAUGCCAGCAAUAUUCCAUUUGAAAGAGUUUUCAAAAUGCCAAACAAAAACAAAUUUUGCCCUAUUAAUGUGCGCAUAAAAACUAUUUUUA